CCUGAACGCUGGCGGCGUGGCUAAGACAUGCAAGUCGUACGGGGCCGCAAGGCCCAGUGGCGAACGGGUGAGUAAUGAAUCGCUAAUGUGCCCCGGACUCAGGGAUAGCCGCUCGAAAGGGCGGGUAAUACCUGAUGACAUAACCCUGUCGCAUGGCAGGGUUCUCAAAGGUCCGCCGGUCUGGGAGCAGGCGAUUUCGUAUCAGCUAGUUGGUGAGGUAACGGCUCACCAAGGCGACGACGCGUAGCCGGACUGAGAGGUUGGCCGGCCACAUUGGGACUGAGAUACGGCCCAGACUCCUACGGGAGGCAGCAGUGGGGAAUCUUGCGCAAUGGGCGAAAGCCUGACGCAGCGACGCCGCGUGAGGGAUGACGGCCUCGG
rnacentral:rRNA from 1 species